UGAUUUUUAAUAAAGAUGGCAUAUAAUAAAGGUGUUGAGCAAUCAACUAUGAUACUAAACGGCAAAUGGAAUAGGCAUAGUGGACUCGGGGGCAGUACCCGACACCUCCACCAAGUUUAAUAGGGGGUGAAACAGAUUCGACAUGUGCAAUAAAGGUUUGAUCUUGUAUUCGGCAUUGUACCGCCGUUAUCGGGCUGUUAUUUUAAAUGCGAAUGAUAAUUUCGCUCAAGUUGCUUUGGCUGCUUAAUUGGUAGUUUGCAACUAAUCAAUCCCUUUGGUGAUGAGAACUGAAGGUGGGGUUGGUGUUUUCCCAGCAACAGAAAAACACCA
rnacentral:tmRNA from 1 species